rnacentral:rRNA from 1 species
GAUGAACGCUGGCGGCGUGCUUAACACAUGCAAGUCGAACGGAAAGGCCAGUGCUUGCACUGGUACUCGAGUGGCGAACGGGUGAGUAACACGUGGGUGAUCUGCCCUGCACUUCGGGAUAAGCCUGGGAAACUGGGUCUAAUACCGGAUAGGACAAUGGUUUGGAUGCCGUUGUGGAAAGUUUUUUCGGUGUGGGAUGAGCUCGCGGCCUAUCAGCUUGUUGGUGGGGUAAUGGCCUACCAAGGCGUCGACGGGUAGCCGGCCUGAGAGGGUGUACGGCCAAAUUGGGACUGAGAGACGGCCCAGACUCCUACGGGAGGCAGCAGUGGGGAAUAUUGCACAAUGGGCGAAAGCCUGAUGCAGCGACGACGCGUGGGGGAUGACGGCCUUCGGGUUGUAAACUCCUUUCGCUAGGGACGAAGCGUAUUUGUGACGGUACCUGGAGAAGAAGCACCGGCUAACUACGUG